AACUUUCAACAACGGAUCUCUUGGGUCUGGCAUCUAUGAAAAAAACACCGAAAUGCGAUAAGUAAUGCGAAUUGCACAAUUCCAGUGAGUCAUCUAAUCUUUGAACGCACAUUGCGCCCUUUGGUAUUCCGAAAGGGAUGCCUGUUCUAGC
rnacentral:rRNA from 1 species